rnacentral:tRNA from 1 species
GGCUUGGUGGUGCAGUAUGUAGCACUGUUGCCUCGCAAAAAAGAUCCUAGGUUUGAAUCCUAGCCGAGCUA